CAGCCUGAUGCAGCAACGCCGCGUGAGGGACGACGGCCUUCGGGUUGUAAACCUCUUUUAGCAGGGAAGAAGCGAAAGUGACGGUACCUGCAGAAAAAGCACCGGCUAACUACGUGCCAGCAGCCGCGGUAAUACGUAGGGUGCAAGCGUUAUCCGGAAUUAUUGGGCGUAAAGAGCUCGUAGGCGGUUUGUCGCGUCUGCUGUGAAACCCCGAGGCUCAACCUCGGGCCUGCAGUGGGUACGGGCAGACUAGAGUGCGGUAGGGGAGAUUGGAAUUCCUGGUGUAGCGGUGGAAUGCGCAGAUAUCAGGAGGAACACCGAUGGCGAAGGCAGAUCUCUGGGCCGUAACUGACGCUGAGGAGCGAAAGGGUGGGGAGCAAACAGGCUUAGAUACCCUGGUAGUCCACCCCGUAAACGUUGGGAACUAGUUGUGGGGUCCAUUCCACGGAUUCCGUGACGCAGCUAACGCAUUAAGUUCCCCGCCUGGGGAGUACGGCCGCAAGGCUAAAACUCAAAGGAAUUGACGGGGACCCGCACAAGCGGCGGAGCAUGCGGAUUAAUUCGAUGCAACGCGAAGAACCUUACCAAGGCUUGACAUAUACGAGAACGGGCUAGAAAUAGUCAACUCUUUGGACACUC
rnacentral:rRNA from 1 species